CCUACGGGAGGCAGCAGUAGGGAAUAUUGCUCAAUGGGGGAAACCCUGAAGCAGCAACGCCGCGUGGAGGAUGAAGGUUUUCGGAUUGUAAACUCCUUUUGUUAGAGAAGAUAAUGACGGUAUCUAACGAAUAAGCACGGGCUAACUCCGUUCCAGCAGCCGCGGUAAUACGGAGGGUGCAAGCGUUACGCGGAAUCACUGGGCGUAAAGCGCGCGUAGGGGGGUUAGCAAGUCAGAGGUGAAAUCCUAUGGCUUAACCAUAGAACUGCAUUUGAAACUGUUAUUCUAGAGUACGGGAUGGGUAGGUGGAAUUCUUGGUGUAGGGGUAAAAUCCGUAGAGAUCAAGAGGAAUACUGAUUGCGAAGGCGACCUGCUAGAACAUAACUGACGCUGAUGCGCGAAAGCGUGGGGAGCAAACAGGAUUAGAUACCCCAGUAGUC
rnacentral:rRNA from 1 species